ACGGGUGAGUAAUAUAUCGGAACGUGCCCAGUUGUGGGGGAUAGCCCGGCGAAAGCCGGAUUAAUACCGCAUACGACCUGAGGGUGAAAGCGGGGGAUCGCAAGACCUCGCGCAAUUGGAGCGGCCGAUAUCAGAUUAGCUAGUUGGUGGGGUAAAGGCCUACCAAGGCGACGAUCUGUAGCUGGUCUGAGAGGACGACCAGCCACACUGGGACUGAGACACGGCCCAGACUCCUACGGGAGGCAGCAGUGGGGAAUUUUGGACAAUGGGCGCAAGCCUGAUCCAGCCAUGCCGCGUGCGGGAAGAAGGCCUUCGGGUUGUAAACCGCUUUUGUCAGGGAAGAAACGGUCUGAACUAAUACUUUGGACUAAUGACGGUACCUGAAGAAUAAGCACCGGCUAACUACGUGCCAGCAGCCGCGGUAAUACGUAGGGUGCAAGCGUUAAUCGGAAUUACUGGGCGUAAAGCGUGCGCAGGCGGCUAUGCAAGACAGAUGUGAAAUCCCCGGGCUCAACCUGGGAACUGCAUUUGUGACUGCAUGGCUAGAGUACGGUAGAGGGG
rnacentral:rRNA from 1 species